rnacentral:rRNA from 1 species
UACGUAGGCAGCAAGCGUUGUUCGGAGUUACUGGGCGUAAAGGGUGUGUAGGCGGUUCUUUAAGUUUGGUGUGAAAUCUCCCGGCUUAACCGGGAGGGUGCGCCGAAUACUGAGGGACUAGAGUACGGGAGAGGAAAGUGGAAAUUCCUGGUGUAGCGGUGAAAUGCGUAGAUAUCAGGAGGAACACCGGUGGUGUAGACGGCUUUCUGGACCGUAACUGACGCUGAGACACGAAAGCGUGGGUAGCAAACAGG